GUAGCAAACAUCAACAGUAGGAAGCAGGACACACGCUACGAGCUAACCGCGAAAAGUUUGAAUGAAGAUUUCCUAAAGAGGCAGGGCCAGCGCACUGCAUGGGUCAUGUAGACGGAUGUAACCCCCCCAGGUUCUCUCCAAGUAAGCUCUCCUUGACCCAGGCCUACACCUGCACAACACACGGCUGUCAUGUGAUGUGUUUGUUUGUACGAGAGACAAAUACCGGGUCUGGUUGACAGCCAUCAGUUGUUAGGCGCCAUCACCAUGAAAAGAUCCAAGCCCUCAGGUGCGCAGUACCGGAAGCGGAGAAAAGAGGAGGCGAACACGAGAUCCUUUUAUCACGAACAUUUUUUGCAGUUGUCCCAAGGAGCUGCUGCAGAGGGGACUUCUGCUCCCACAUCUACACCACUCUCUGAAGAAUCAGGUGAAGGAACCAGCAGAGCGGGCAUCACAAUUCAACCGCCUCAGGACACCCCAUCAACUGCAACACGUCCAUAUCUACUGGAUUUCUCCAAGGAAGCCCCUCUCGAUCCUGCUGAUUGGCCAAACCUGUCUGAGGUAGUGAGGAUGGAGAUAGCCAGCAGGGGCCCCUCUCUAGUAAAACCAGAUUUUAUCUUCCCAAAAAGAGAAGAUGGGAGAAGUUGCCAUCACCACUACUUCUCUAGACGUUUAGUAAAUGGAGAGAAAAUCAAAAGAAGCUGGUUGGUUUAUUCCAUUAAAAGAAAUAGUUUGUUUUGCUUCUGUUGCAAACUCUUCUCCCUAAAAUCUUUUAAACUGAUCAAUGGUGGGCUUAAUGACUGGAAAAAUUGCAGUGAAUUGCUGAAAUCUCACGAGAACAGCCCAGAACAUUCAAAGAACAUGACACAGUGGAAAGAACUGGAGACCCGCAUUGACAAUUGCCAAACAAUAGACAAAACAGAAAUGUCACUAAUAGAUGCUGAGAGGAAGAGGUGGCGUGAAGUUCUGACCCGAUUGGUGGCCAUCAUUCAGUCACUGGCGGAGCGAAAUAUUACCUUCAGGGGAACUACAGAGACACUUCACCAACCAAAUAAUGGUAACUUUCUUAAGGAGGUAGAGCUCAUGGCCCAGUUCGACCCAGUAAUGAAGGAGCAUGUUGCGAAGGUGGUGAGUGGAGACAUCCAUAUAUCUUACUUGGGAAAAAAUAUUCAAAACGAGCUGAUAGAUUGCAUCGGUGGAAAAAUUGUGGAGUCUAUGGUUGCUGAAAUCAAACAAAGCAAAUACUUUUCAAUCAUUUUAGAUUGCACUACUGAUUUGAAGAAUAAAGAGCAACUGUCUGUCAUAAUUCGUAUUGUUGCUGUUGAGGACACCCCACAAAUAAAGGAGCAUUUUAUAGGAUUCCUUGAGGAGGAAGAGUCCACUGGAGAAAGCCUCUCAACUCUCAUUCUAAAGAGGCUCGAAGAACUAGACAUCCCCUUUGAAGACUGUAGAGGGCAGUUCUAUGAAAAUGGUGCCAAUUUGAAAGGGAAGAGAAAGGGAGUCCAAACCAGACUCCUGAAGAUAAAUCCAAGGGCUUUAUACGUGCCAUGUGGAGCGCACACGGUAAAUCUGAUGGUAGCUGAUGCAGCAAAAAGCUCUACAGAUGCCACUGGCUACUUUGGCUACCUGCAGAAACUUUUCACACUGUUUUCUACCUCCACUCAGAGAUGGUCCAUCUUAAGAAAACAUCUAAACACAACCCUGAGAUCCUGGUCAGAUACGAGAUGGGAGAGUCGAAUCAGCAGUGUGAAGGCUGUGAGAUAUCAGGCAGCAGAGGUCAGAGAUGCACUUUUAGAGGUGAGGGACAAUACCACAGAUCCAGUUAUAAAGACUGAGGCACAGUCUUUAGCUGAAGAGGUCGGAUCAUACCGCUUCUCUAUCUGCACUGUGGUCUGGUAUGACAUCCUGACAAAAAUACAGCAUGUCCACAAAUUGUUACAGUUAGAGACAAUGCAGGUGGAUCUCGCAGUUCACCUCCUGAAAAAAACUGAAGCUUCUCUUCUCAGCUACAGAGACACUGGAUUUGCUUCGGCCCAAGUGUCUGCCAGAGAAAUGUGUGAGGAGAUGAAUGUGGAAGCUUUUCUUAAACCGAACGGACUGCGAACAACGAGGAGGCAGUUUUCCUAUGAGGCCCCUGAUGAGAAACUAACUGAUGCACUGAAAAAAAUGGAAACUUCUUUUUUCAAUGUGGUGGUUGAUGAAUCCAUUGUGUCACUGCAGGAAAGAUCACAGGCCUUGGGCGAGGUGGAGAAAAAGUUCAGUGUGCUUGUCAACUUCCCUGAUCUCCCCAGUGAAGAGCUGAAAAAGCAGUGUGAGAUCCUCAGCAACACCCUGAGCUGUAGUGGGCAGUCAGACCUGGACGGGACGGAACUGGCACUGGAGUUGCAGGCUUUCCCAGAUCUGCCAGAAGAUAAGACGACUACCUUAGAACUUCUCAAAUUCUUACAGGAGAAGAACCUGAAGGAGGUUUAUCCUAAUAUGUGGGUGGCCUUGAGAAUUGCAGUCACACUUCCAGUAACAGCUGCUGCUGUAGAGAGGAGCUUCUCAAAGUUGAAGCUCAAAACAUACCUGAGAUCCACCAUGUCUGAAGAGCGUUUCAAUGGACUUGGUUUAAUAAGCAUAAAUCGUGACGUUUCUAGGCAGGUGUCAAUUGAUGAGACUAUAGAUGCUUUCGCUGCAAAGAAGUCUAGACGUGUACAGUUUUAAUGGAAAGAACUUAAUUCAGUGUAUCUGAAAGUGUGGAUUGUUUGUUUUAUAAAAUUAAACAGUGGUAAUGUUUCAGAUGACUGGUUUCCCUGAAUGCCUGUGGUAUGGAUGGGGUGUGGCAUGUUUGGGGGGGGGGUGUUAGGGUAAAUGCCUAGAGCUGGCUCUGCAUCCAGGUGUAGUCAGAGAAUGCAGCACCAUACAGACAGUGAUGGAGAUGAGCUACAAUGACCUGAACAUCACACAUGGACUAUUAAAAGAAUGCAGUGUUAAUUUCGUCAGACAAGACAAGGCGAAAUAUGUUUGCCAACGACCCUUUUUCCCAUGGUGAAGACAAGAUGAUAACGACACUGCACCGAUGUACUAAAAACACUAAGACUGUGUUAAUGUGCCUUAUUGUUGACGAAUGAAAACAAGACUAAAAUGUUUUACCUGAAAUAAACACUGAACAAAAACUCCCUCCUCGUUUUCAUCUACACAAGAGGAAACACAACACCCCCCUGUCCAGACGAAGACAGUUUCAGUCUCCUGUGUGUACUCAGUGACUUUAGAGAGAGACAGAGACAGGCGUAACUGGGAGCUGAUGGAGAACCUUACUACUGGAUCCGAGGUCUGAGGGGAUCUAAGGCUGUAAACCACCAGCCGGGUCUGUGCCCAGCUUAGAGACACUGCACCCGGCUUUGAGCUGCCAACCAGGGCUGAUGAUAACUGCUCAUGACUGUUUUGUUUAUAGGUGUUUGCUGUGUUUAUGUUUUCACUUAAAAAAAAAAACCUUAAUUCAUAGACACAUUUUUUUCUAGACCUCCAUCUCAUAAUGGAUUUUUCUUAACUAUGGGUCUAUUCUAGUUUUGUGUCCUUAUUUCUACUCAGAACAAAACUGCAUUUGUUCUACUGUAAUCUCAAGCACAGAACUGAACCCAACAUGUAGGAAAUGUAUUUUAGGUCUACAGUAAGUUUAUCCCUUUAAGUUUUUAUUAUAUUUUAACCUAUAUCUGCUCAGCAAGAAGAGCCUGUAGCUGUAAGAGUCGUAUAAUUUAACAGUUGUGUUUUUUUUAAAUUUGGUUGGUGAUUCUGAAUAAAAUUGUCAGAACAAGUGCAUCAUUUUGUAAAUGUGUAUUGAAUCAACGAACCAGACACUUUUGGCAAAGUUGCGUUGAAGAUUUAUUCAAUUCAUUCAAGAUGUUUGAUUUUCCAGAUUAUUAUGACAUUUGAUCAAUAUUUUAGCUGUGAAACACAAUUCAACUGGAAUGGUAAACAAAAAUCAUCCCUGAAAUUAAAAAAAAAUACAAAAAUGUUUUGGCUAAAACUAGACUAAAACACCUUGAGUUCUCGUUUGACUAAAACUAGACUAAAAUGUUGAGACUUUUUGUCCACUAAAACACGAUUAACAAAAAAUGAUAUGUGAAUAACUAAAUAAGACAAAGACUAAUCAGUAGUCAGUAUGGAUCGCCAUCUGCUAUGCAAAAUAUCUUAACCAUCACACUUAUGUUCUCUGUAGGAUGUUUACAGUGUGCUGUUAUUUAUCCUACUUGUAGUUUUGCUGCCUCAGUGGAUGAGAUGAUGGAGAUCGAGGACCACCAUAGAGAACUGAUAACACCUCUGUGCUAAAGCUGCUGGAUUUUCUGCCUGGGUGGAUGAAAUCCUGGAAAUGGAGGACCAUCAAACAGACCUGCUGAAGCUGCUGGGUGAUGACGACGGCAGCGGCUGGCCCUUGACUCAAGUUAUGUUAUUUGUUGCCCCUGUGGGUAAGAAAUAGCAUUUCUUGGGUGUGAAAGGGGGGGUGCAGAAGUGUUUUUUUCACCUGUUUCCUGUCUUUUUCAAUAAAAAAUUUUGUACACCCCCCUGGUUUUCAUGUGAGGGCUCAUUAUGAGUCCCUUGUUUUCUUGCGCCCUUACUGAGCAAGCCCAGGAAUCGAACCACCGGCCAGCCUCACAGUAGUCAGUUGUGUUUGCGCCGCCGACCUUCUGACUGAGCUAUCUGUGAGCUACUGAUGAAGUGUUCGGAACUUGUAUUUAUUGUGUUUUUUUGGACCUGAAAAUGUGUAAAAGCUCAAGUGUUCUCUGUGGGUCUUGAACUAGCUACCUAUGAGCACAGGAGAUGAGUCUUGCACUAGUCUUAACCACUGAGCUAUUCUGUCAGCUGAUGGUACUAAGUUGGAAGUUGUAUUUAUUGUGUUUGUUUCCGCUCCUCUGUUUUUUGGGUGAAAAGCAAGUACCUGCGUGGGACUUGAUCUCACAACCUUGGAAUCUGAAGUGAAAGUGUGCGUUUUGCCUGAUGCUUAGACCACUGAGCUAAACUUGAGGUUAGGAAAUUGGAGUCAAUUUCCAAGUAUAAGAAAUGUAUACAGCUGAAACCCUGAGGAGCGAGAAGGGAUGGAAAUUUUGAAAAAAUAGAUCCCGGUGUGGGAUUUGAACUCACAAUCUCAAAAGUUGUAGGAUUGUGUGACAGUUGUCCUAUUUCUUUUCCACUGUGCUACAGCUGAAUUGUUGAUGUGAGAGGUUUUUUUUUGGUAUUAGAGAUGUAAACUUGAACUGUGAGGACAGACUCUGCUCCAUCUCCAAGUAGGGUCUAGGCCUUUGGCUCGAAGAGGUCAGGAAGGGGAAGUGAACCAGACUGAAAGUCAUGUGAAGUCUGUGAUACAGACAACUCACCACUACACCAGCCUAACCUGCCACGUGACAGAGUCUGGUCGACACCAGCUCUGAAUGGAAAGUGUCCUGACAUUACUUCUGUUGUGAUUUGGUGAUUUAUAAAUAAAAUUGGAUUUGGAUUAUUGAACUGG